CUGGUGUCAGCCGCCGCGGUAAUACCAGCUCCCCGAGUGGUUGGGACGAUUAUUGGGUCUAAAGCGUUCGUAGCCGGUUGGAGAAGUUCUCCGUUAAAUCCAACGAUUCAAUCGUUGGGCCGCGGAGAUUACUCUUCAGCUUGGGGGCGGAGGAUGUCGACGGUAGUCCUGGGGUAGGGGCGAAAUCCUAUAAUCCCGGGAGGACCACCAGUGGCGAAGGCGGUCGACAAAUACGCGCCCGACGGUGAGGGACGAAAGCUGGGGGAGCGAACGGGAUUAGAUACCCCGGUAGUCCCAGCUGUAAACGAUGCAGGCUAGGUGUUAGAACGGCUACGGGCCGUUCUAGUGCCGCAGGGAAGCCGUUAAGUCUGCCACCUGGGAAGUACGGUCGCAAGGCUGAAACUUAAAGGAAUUGGCGGGAGAGCACCACAAGGGGUGAAGCCUGCGGUUUAAUUGGAGUCAACCCCGGGAACCUUACCAGGAGCGACAGUUGGAUGAAGGUCAGAUUAAAGGUCUUACCGGACUAGCU
rnacentral:rRNA from 1 species